ACAGCCGGCGAUGUCCGAAUGGGGAAACCCAGUGCAAUUCGUUGCACUAUCGUUAACUGAAUACAUAGGUUAACGAGGCGAACCGGGGGAACUGAAACAUCUAAGUACCCCGAGGAAAAGAAAUCAACCGAGAUUCCCCCAGUAGCGGCGAGCGAACGGGGAGCAGCCCAGAGUCUGAAUCAGCUUGUGUGUUAGUGGAACGGUCUGGAAAGUCCGACGGUACAGGGUGAUAGUCCCGUACACCAAAAUGCACAGGUUGUGAACUCGAAGAGUAGGGCGGGACACGUGGUAUCCUGUCUGAAUAUGGGGGGACCAUCCUCCAAGGCUAAAUACUCCUGACUGACCGAUAGUGAACCAGUACCGUGAGGGAAAGGCGAAAAGAACCCCGGCGAGGGGAGUGAAAAAGAACCUGAAACCGUGUACGUACAAGCAGUGGGAGCACCUUCGGGUGUGACUGCGUACCUUUUGUAUAAUGGGUCAGCGACUUAUAUUCUGUAGCAAGGUUAACCGUAUAGGGGAGCCGCAGGGAAACCGAGUCUUAACUGGGCGUUAAGUUGCAGGGUAUAGACCCGAAACCCGGUGAUCUAGCCAUGGGCAGGUUGAAGGUUGGGUAACACUAACUGGAGGACCGAACCGACUAAUGUUGAAAAAUUAGCGGAUGACUUGUGGCUGGGGGUGAAAGGCCAAUCAAACCGGGAGAUAGCUGGUUCUCCCCGAAAGCUAUUUAGGUAGCGCCUCGUGAACUCAUCUUCGGGGGUAGAGCACUGUUUCGGCUAGGGGGUCAUCCCGACUUACCAACCCGAUGCAAACUACGAAUACCGAAGAAUGUUAUCACGGGAGACACACGGCGGGUGCUAACGUCCGUCGUGAAGAGGGAAACAACCCAGACCGCCAGCUAAGGUCCCAAAGUCAUGGUUAAGUGGGAAACGAUGUGGGAAGGCACAGACAGCCAGGAUGUUGGCUUAGAAGCAGCCAUCAUUUAAAGAAAGCGUAAUAGCUCACUGGUCGAGUCGGCCUGCGCGGAAGAUGUAACGGGGCUAAACCAUGCACCGAAGCUGCGGCAGCGACACUAUGUGUUGUUGGGUAGGGGAGCGUUCUGUAAGCCUGCGAAGGUGUGCUGUGAGGCAUGCUGGAGGUAUCAGAAGUGCGAAUGCUGACAUAAGUAACGAUAAAGCGGGUGAAAAGCCCGCUCGCCGGAAGACCAAGGGUUCCUGUCCAACGUUAAUCGGGGCAGGGUGAGUCGACCCCUAAGGCGAGGCCGAAAGGCGUAGUCGAUGGGAAACAGGUUAAUAUUCCUGUACUUGGUGUUACUGCGAAGGGGGGACGGAGAAGGCUAUGUUAGCCGGGCGACGGUUGUCCCGGUUUAAGCAUGUAGGCUGAUUGUCCAGGCAAAUCCGGAUAAUCAAGGCUGAGGUGUGAUGACGAGGCACUACGGUGCUGAAGUAACAAAUGCCCUGCUUCCAGGAAAAGCCUCUAAGCAUCAGGUAACAUUAAAUCGUACCCCAAACCGACACAGGUGGUCAGGUAGAGAAUACCAAGGCGCUUGAGAGAACUCGGGUGAAGGAACUAGGCAAAAUGGUGCCGUAACUUCGGGAGAAGGCACGCUGGUGUGUAGGUGAAGUCCCUGCGGAUGGAGCUGAGACCAGUCGAAGAUACCAGCUGGCUGCAACUGUUUAUUAAAAACACAGCACUGUGCAAACACGAAAGUGGACGUAUACGGUGUGACGCCUGCCCGGUGCCGGAAGGUUAAUUGAUGGGGUUAUCCGUAAGGAGAAGCUCUUGAUCGAAGCCCCGGUAAACGGCGGCCGUAACUAUAACGGUCCUAAGGUAGCGAAAUUCCUUGUCGGGUAAGUUCCGACCUGCACGAAUGGCGUAAUGAUGGCCAGGCUGUCUCCACCCGAGACUCAGUGAAAUUGAACUCGCUGUGAAGAUGCAGUGUACCCGCGGCAAGACGGAAAGACCCCGUGAACCUUUACUAUAGCUUGACACUGAACAUUGAGCCUUGAUGUGUAGGAUAGGUGGGAGGCUUUGAAGCGUGGACGCCAGUCUGCGUGGAGCCAACCUUGAAAUACCACCCUUUAAUGUUUGAUGUUCUAACGUUGGCCCCUGACCGGGGUUGCGGACAGUGUCUGGUGGGUAGUUUGACUGGGGCGGUCUCCUCCCAAAGCGUAACGGAGGAGCACGAAGGUUAGCUAAUCCUGGUCGGACAUCAGGAGGUUAGUGCAAUGGCAUAAGCUAGCUUGACUGCGAGCGUGACGGCGCGAGCAGGUGCGAAAGCAGGUCAUAGUGAUCCGGUGGUUCUGAAUGGAAGGGCCAUCGCUCAACGGAUAAAAGGUACUCCGGGGAUAACAGGCUGAUACCGCCCAAGAGUUCAUAUCGACGGCGGUGUUUGGCACCUCGAUGUCGGCUCAUCACAUCCUGGGGCUGAAGUAGGUCCCAAGGGUAUGGCUGUUCGCCAUUUAAAGUGGUACGCGAGCUGGGUUUAGAACGUCGUGAGACAGUUCGGUCCCUAUCUGCCGUGGGCGCUGGAGAAUUGAGGGGGGCUGCUCCUAGUACGAGAGGACCGGAGUGGACGCAUCACUGGUGUUCGGGUUGUCAUGCCAAUGGCACUGCCCGGUAGCUAAAUGCGGAAGAGAUAAGUGCUGAAAGCAUCUAAGCACGAAACUUGCCCCGAGAUGAGUUCUCCCUGAGACUAUAAGUCUCCUGAAGGAACGUUAAAGACGAUGACGUUGAUAGGCCGGGUGUGUAAGCGCAGCGAUGCGUUGAGCUAACCGGUACUAAUGAACCGUGAGGCUUAACCUU
rnacentral:rRNA from 1 species